AUUGAACGCUGGCGGAAUGCUUUACACAUGCAAGUCGAGCGGCAGCGCGGGGGCAACCCUGGCGGCGAGCGGCGAACGGGUGAGUAACAUAUCGGAACGUACCCAGUCGUGGGGGAUAACUAUCCGAAAGGAUAGCUAAUACCGCAUACGUCCUGAGGGAGAAAGCGGGGGAUCGCAAAGACCUCGCGCGAUUGGAGCGGCCGAUAUCGGAUUAGCUAGUUGGUGGGGGUAAAAGGCUCACCAAGGCGACGAUCCGUAGCGGGUCUGAGAGGACGACCCGCCACACUGGAACUGAGACACGGUCCAGACUCCUACGGGAGGCAGCAGUGGGGAAUUUUGGACAAUGGGGGCAACCCUGAUCCAGCCAUUCCGCGUGAGUGAAGAA
rnacentral:rRNA from 1 species